rnacentral:rRNA from 1 species
UCGGCAAUGGGGGAAACCCUGACCGAGCAACGCCGCGUGAAUGAUGACGGCCUUCGGGUUGUAAAAUUCUGUGGCGAGGAACGAAUGGCAAGGAGAGGAAAUGCUCUUUGUUUGACGGUACCUCGCUAGAAAGCCACGGCUAACUACGUGCCAGCAGCCGCGGUAAUACGUAGGUGGCAAGCGUUAUCCGGAAUUAUUGGGCGUAAAGAGUGAGCAGGCGGUUUUUUAAGUCUGAAGUCAAAUCCUGUGGCUCAACCACAGUUCGCUUUGGAAACUGAAGAACUAGAGUGCGGGAGAGGUAAGCGGAAUUCCAUAUGUAGCGGUGAAAUGCACAGAUAUAUGGAGGAACACCGGUGGCGAAGGCGGCUUACCAGCCCGAUACUGACGCUCAGUCACGAAAGCGUGGGGAGCAAAUAGGCUUAGAUACCCUAGUAGUCCACGCCGUAAACGUUGAGGACCUGAUGCCGGAGUAUUUCGGUGUCGUAGCUAACGCGUUAAGUCCUCCGCCUGGGUACUACGUUCGCAAGAAUAAAACUUAAAGGAAUUGACGGGGGCCCGCACAAGCAGUGGAGCAUGUGGUUUAAUUCGUCGCUACGCGAAAAACCUUACCAGGGUUUGACAUCCCGCUAAAAGUCUUGGAAACAAGAUCAUAGUUAUAGCGGUGAAAGGUGGUGCAUGGUUGUCGUCAGCUCGUGUCGUGAGAUGUUGGGUUAAGUCCCCUAACGAGCGCAACCCUUGUCUCUAUUUGCCAUCAUUAAGUUGGGAACUAUAGAGAGACUGCCGGUGCAAACCGGAGGAAGAUGGGGAUGACGUCAAAUCAUCAUGCCCCUUAUGCCCUGGGCCACACACGUGCUACAAUGGCCGGUACAGAGAGAAGCAAUCCCGUGAGGAGGAGCAAAUCUCACAAAGCCGGUCUCAGUUCGGAUUGGAGUCUGCAACUCGACUCCAUGAAGCUGGAAUUGCUAGUAAUCGCAGAUCAGCAUUGCUGCGGUGAAUACGUUCCCGGGCCUUGUACACACUGCCCGUCACACCAUGAGAGUCGGCAAUACUCGAAGUCGUUAUCUUAACCUGCAAGGGAGGGAGGCGCCUAAGGUAGGGCUGAUGAUUGGGGUUAAGUCGUAACAAGGUAUCCCUACGGGAACGUGGGGAUG